AAAGGGAGAUUAGUCUACAGGAGGAAUAUCACGGGCCUGCUCCUUUCUGUGCAGUCGUCGCUUCACACUGCGCGCUACCACUUUCAUCUGAAGCUCCAUAUCAGACAGACUGUGGAGGGAACAUCAGAGGGAUCAGGCUGGCUUAGCUUAUUGGAAGCAGAUGGCAGACCAAAGGCAAGAAGGCCACAGUUUCAUGAAGCGUGGUUUGAACAUGCCAGGACCAUGUCGAGGGGCAUGCCCAUGGAUGAUGGCUACAUGGUGUGUUCAUCAUCUGUGCAUCCCAAUGCACUGGUUGAGGCGACGUUUGAAGAACUAUGCAUCAAUGACUUUUCAGUGAAUUGGUGGCUUUGAAGCCCCUUACUCCUGGUGCCCUGCUGCACUAUAAUCAGGAAUCAAAGGCUGGCGCCUGGGAUCCAUCAUCUCUGGCAAAGUGGUCGUGUGUUCAGUAACGCUGGCUAACUGAGUAUGUAAUUACUAGCUGUCUAGGGAUUACUUGAUUGACUAAACAUUAAAAAGAGCGAGUAAGAAGUAGAGCAAACAUUUGUGAACAUGAUUAAGUGUAUGUAAGAGAGACUGUGCGUGUUAAUGUUCCUUCACAUUUCUUCAAACUGUGACAUUGUGAUGGUGCAUGUGCUGAAUUCACCAUUAAAAAGAGCCCAGUGUGGAUGAGAGCCCACUAACAGACAGACAGUCUUAGCUAGCCAGUACACGGCACAAUACCAGAUGGUGCAGUGUUUCCCAUAUGGAAUAGACAAACACUAAGCACA